rnacentral:rRNA from 1 species
UACGAAGGAGGCAAGCGUUGUUCGGAAUCACUGGGCUUAAAGCGCGUGUAGGCGGCCAUGCAAGUACUUUGUGAAAUCCCUCGGCUCAACCGGGGAAUUGCUUGGUAUACUGCAGGGCUUGAGGCGGGUAGGGGUGCUUGGAACUCUAGGUGGAGCGGUGAAAUGCGUAGAUAUCUAGAGGAACGCCUGUGGCGAAAGCGGAGCACUGGGCCCGUCCUGACGCCAAGACGCGAAAGCGUGGGUAGCAAACGGG